CGAACGGGUGAGUAACGCGUGAGGAACCUGCCUCAAAGAAGGGGGACGAACAGUUGGAAACGACUGCUAAUACCGCAUAAGCCCACGGGUCGGCAUCGACCAGAGGGAAAAGGAAGCAAUCCGCUUUGAGAUGGCCUCGCGUCCGAUUAGCUAGUUGGUGAGGUAAUGGCCCACCCAAGGCAACGAUCGGUAGCCGGACUGAGAGGUUGAACGGCCACAUUGGGACUGAGACACGGCCCAGACUCCUACGGGAGGCAGCAUG
rnacentral:rRNA from 1 species